rfam:Ancylostoma ceylanicum strain HY135 Acey_s0021_scaf, whole genome shotgun sequence.
GCACGGAUGGCCGAGUGGUCUAAGGCGCCAGACUCAAGCAUACGCUUACCGCGAGCGCAGCGGUGUACGUUGGGCAUUCUGGUACUCGUAAGGGUGCGUGGGUUCAAAUCCCACUCCGUGCA